rnacentral:rRNA from 1 species
UGGGGAAUAUUGCACAAUGGGCGCAAGCCUGAUGCAGCCAUGCCGCGUGUAUGAAGAAGGCCUUCGGGUUGUAAAGUACUUUCAGUCGGGAGGAAGGUGUCAAGGUUAAUAACCUUGGCAAUUGACGUUACCGACAGAAGAAGCACCGGCUAACUCCGUGCCAGAAGCCGCGGUAAUACGGAGGGUGCAAGCGUUAAUCGGAAUUACUGGGCGUAAAGCGCACGCAGGCGGUUGAUUGAGUCAGAUGUGAAAUCCCCGGGCUUAACCCGGGAAUUGCAUCUGAUACUGGUCAGCUAGAGUCUUGUAGAGGGGGGUAGAAUUCCAUGUGUAGCGGUGAAAUGCGUAGAGAUGUGGAGGAAUACCGGUGGCGAAGGCGGCCCCCUGGACAAAGACUGACGCUCAGGUGCGAAAGCGUGGGGAGCAAACAGG